UGUAGUCGAAAAUGUUGUCUCUCUUGAGUGGAUCCUGAGUACGACGGAGCACGUGAAAUUCCGUCGGAAUCUGGGAGGACCAUCUCCUAAGGCUAAAUACUCUCUAGUGACCGAUAGUGAACCAGUACCGUGAGGGAAAGGUGAAAAGCACCCCGGAAGGGGAGUGAAAUAGAACCUGAAACCGUGUGCUUACAAGUAGUCAGAGCCCGUUAAUGGGUGAUGGCGUGCCUUUUGUAGAAUGAACCGGCGAGUUACGAUUUGAUGCAAGGUUAAGCAGUAAAUGUGGAGCCGUAGCGAAAGCGAGUCUGAAUAGGGCGUUUAGUAUUUGGUCGUAGACCCGAAACCAGGUGAUCUACCCUUGGUCAGGUUGAAGUUCAGGUAACACUGAAUGGAGGACCGAACCGACUUACGUUGAAAAGUGAGCGGAUGAACUGAGGGUAGCGGAGAAAUUCCAAUCGAACCUGGAGAUAGCUGGUUCUCUCCGAAAUAGCUUUAGGGCUAGCCUCAAGUGAUGAUUAUUGGAGGUAGAGCACUGUUUGGACGAGGGGCCCCUCUCGGGUUACCGAAUUCAGACAAACUCCGAAUGCCAAUUAAUUUAACUUGGGAGUCAGAACAUGGGUGAUAAGGUCCGUGUUCGAAAGGGAAACAGCCCAGACCACCAGCUAAGGUCCCAAAAUAUAUGUUAAGUGGAAAAGGAUGUGGCGUUGCCCAGACAACUA
rnacentral:rRNA from 1 species